rfam:Cochliobolus heterostrophus C5 unplaced genomic scaffold COCHEscaffold_11, whole genome shotgun sequence.
ACAUACGGCCAUAGGCAACUUUUCAGCACUGGAUCCCGUUCGUUCUCCGUUCGUUAAAUAUUUGACCGGCGGACUAGUAGUCAGGCGGGUGACCACUGGCGAAUCCCCGCUGUCGUAUGUU